UCCAAACCACACUGUGGUGUU
rnacentral:miRNA from 1 species